AUAUAUAUAUAUAGUGGGGCGACCUGCGCCCCACUUUGAAAGAAAAAAAGGUGAAGGGCCAUGUGGCCCUUCACGUGAUAAAAGAAGGAAGGGCCAUCUGGCCCUUUCCAAUGCAGAAAAAAACAAAAGUAAUAAUAAGAGGCAAUGCCUCUUUUUCUCUCAGAACCGAGAGAAAGAAAGAAGAGAAAGAAAAUAUGGGGAAACUUUUCUCAUUUUUGCGAUCCACGAAAAUCCAACGGUUCGAUCUUCGAUCCGUCUUCGGAAACGCGAUCUACGCGUAAGGAUCUACAUUUUCACCGAUCGUUUUGAGACAUUGAUGCUUUGGUUGCAGGCUCUGCGGAUAUAGAUAUUGACUCGUUCACCUAGCGUAUGGGAUACUAUGAUUGGAGCACAUCGCAACAGUCAUAAGUCACGGACUCAUGGGUAGUUCGCAUUUUGGGUAUUUUAUCUAUGGCCCGUGUCCUACGGGGCACAUGUAUUUGUUGAGCCUAUAUUUUAGAAUGUAAUUAGUGUAAUUUGUUAUAUAAGCCUUAAAUAGAUAGACUUGUAAAUGGCUCUUUGUUGUAAUUAACUGUUGUGUAUUAGAUGUACUUCCGCUUAUGAUAUGUGUUCCGCUGCACAUUGAUUACUA